rnacentral:lncRNA from 1 species
UUGGAGAUGGAUUUCAAGUUGCAGAUAUGAAAGUGCACACACACACACACACACACACACACACACACACACACACACACACACACACACUGGCCUGCUCCUUUCACAAGAAGCUGUUGUAAAUGCAGGCUGCCUUACUCUCUGCGGUUGGAGGUGUGGAAAGAAACAAGAAACAGAAAAGAACAAUUUGAAGAGAACCUGAAUUUACAAUCUGGGAGCCAGGGAGUAAACAUUGCACUGUAAGCUGGAUCAUCAGUUUGUGCCAACAGAAGAAGAAGAUGUGUCUUACAAGUCAAAGCAAAACCCAAGACAGUAGGUCAACCGUGGUCCUAGGAUCUUGCUGGGAAUCUGAGCAGAAAACACGAGGAAUGGAAAGUGCCUAGAGUGACAGCUCCAAGGGAAACCUCCAAAGCUGAGUGCACUGAUAAACACCUACAGUCCCAGCGAUCUAUAGCCAGAGGCAGGAGGAUCACAAGUGUGAAGACAGCCCUGGUCUACACAGUG